CCAAAAUUGUCUUUUAUUUGGUCUUAGAGGCUUACUGACUCUCCAGUCACCCUCUUGCAGAAUGACCUUUUAGCUGAGGACAGUCUGGACACCCACCUUAAUCCUGGUUUUUCUCAAGAACCAGAUAAGAAGACACUGACAGAUCCUAGAGCUGCCCACUUGCAACAACCAAGAAUAGAAGGUUUUGCUAGAUUGCACCCCUUUCUGGCCAUUGGAGUAAUUCAUCAACGUGUUGUUGAUUGGAGUUGCAUUAAGAAAAGAAUCUGAUUGUUGCAUCAUUUGACAAACCACCUUUCAGUUCAGUUGCCUCUUGCAAAGAAGCAAGAGUUCACAUCAAGCUACUUCUCAAGGUACAAACAUUUUUUUUAUUGCAUUAAAAAUAUUUCUUAAAAUAUGUGACAGCUUUUGUACAGUUGGAGUAUUUCAAUAAAUUAGGAGCAUUAACAGCCUUUAAGUUCCUC
rnacentral:lncRNA from 1 species